rnacentral:rRNA from 1 species
CGCGCAGGCGGACUCAGUAAGUCGGAAGUGAAAUUCCGGGGCUCAACUCCGGAACUGCUUCCGAGACUGCGAGUCUGGGGACCGGUAGAGGCGGGUGGAAUUCCCGGUGUAGCGGUGGAAUGCGUAGAGAUCGGGAAGAACACCGGUGGCGAAGGCGGCCCGCUGGGCCGGAUCCGACGCUGAGGCGCGAAAGCGUGGGGAGCAAACAGGAUUAGAUACCCUGGUAGUCCACGCCGUAAACGAUGGGCACUAGGUGCCGGGGGGAGCGACCCCUUCGGUGCCGCAGCUAACGCGAUAAGUGCCCCGCCUGGGGAGUACGGCCGCAAGGCUGAA